rnacentral:snRNA from 1 species
UUACUUACCAGGCAGGGGAGAUACCAUGAUCACUAAGGUGGUUCUCCCAGGGCGAGGCUCAUCCAUUGCACUCCGGGUGUGCUGACCCCUGCGAUUUCCCCAAAUGCGGAAAACUCGACUGCAUAAUUUGUGGUAGUGGGGGACUGUGUUCGCGCUCUCCCCUG